rnacentral:tRNA from 1 species
GGAUAGAUGGCAGAGUGGUCGAUUGCGCAACCUUGGAAAGGUUGUGAACGUUUACGCGUUCCCAGGGUUCGAAUCCCUGUCUGUCCGCCA